rnacentral:rRNA from 1 species
GAUGAACGCUGGCGGCGUGCCUAAUACAUGCAAGUCGAGCGAACGGACGAGAAGCUUGCUUUUCUGAUGUUAGCGGCGGACGGGUGAGUAACACGUGGAUAACCUACCUAUAAGACUGGGAUAACUUCGGGAAACCGGAGCUAAUACCGGAUAAUAUUUUGAACCGCAUGGUUCAAAAGUGAAGGACGGUCUUGCUGUCACUUAUAGAUGAAUCCGCGCUGCAUUAGCUAGUUGGUAAGGUAACGGCUUACCAAGGCAACGAUGCAUAGCCGACCUGAGAGGGUGAUCGGCCACACUGGAACUGAGACACGGUCCAGACUCCUACGGGAGGCAGCAGUAGGGAAUCUUCCGCAAUGGGCGAAAGCCUGACGGAGCAACGCCGCGUGAGUGAUGAAGGUCUUCGGAUCGUAAAACUCUGUUAUUAGGGAAGAACAUAUGUGUAAGUAACUGUGCACAUCUUGACGGUACCUAAUCAGAAAGCCACGGCUAACUACGUG